rnacentral:rRNA from 1 species
CCUACGGUGGGCAGCAGUGGGGGAUAUUGCACAAUGGGGGAAACCCUGAUGCAGCGACGCCGCGUGUGGGAAGACGGUCCUCUGGAUUGUAAACCACUGUCCCCAGGGACGAAGAUGACGGUACCUGGGGAGGCAGCUCCGGCUAACUACGUGCCAGCAGCCGCGGUAAUCCGUAGGGAGCGAGCGUUGUCCGGAAUUACUGGGUGUAAAGGGAGCGUAGGCGGGACUGCAAGUUGGGUGUCAAAUCUACCGGCUCAACCGGUAGCCGCACUCAAAACUGCAGUUCUUGAGUGAAGUAGAGGCAGGCGGAAUUCCUAGUGUAGCGGUGAAAUGCGUAGAUAUUAGGAGGAACACCAGUGGCGAAGGCGGCCUGCUGGGCUUUGACUGACGCUGAGGCUCGAAAGUGUGGGGAGCAAACAGGAUUAGAUACCCUUGUAGUC